CUACGGGAUGCACCAGUGGGGAAUAUUGCACAAUGGGCGAAAGCCUGAUGCAGCAACGCCGCGUGAGGGACGACGGCCUUCGGGUUGUAAACCUCUUUUAGCAGGGAAGAAGCGAAAGUGACGGUACCUGCAGAAAAAGCACCGGCUAACUACGUGCCAGCAGCGCGCGGUAAUACGUAGGGUGCAAGCGUUGUCCGGAAUUAUUGGGCGUAAAGAGCUCGUAGGCGGUUUGUCGCGUCUGCUGUGAAAAUCCGAGGCUCAACCUCGGACCUGCAGUGGGUACGGGCAAACUAGAGUGCGGUAGGGGAGAUUGGAAUUCCUGGUGUAGCGGUGGAAUGCGCAGAUAUCAGGAGGAACACCAAUGGCGAAGGCAGAUCUCUGGGCCGUAACUGACGCUGAGGAGCGAAAGCGUGGGGAGCGAACAGGAUUAGAUACCCUUGUAGUC
rnacentral:rRNA from 1 species